rnacentral:misc_RNA from 1 species
GAAGAAACUGUUGACUUCUUGCUCACAUGAAGUUGUAUUUAUAUUUUAACUGUUUGUCAUCAUCAUCAUGUGCUCUUUAUUAUUUUCUCUAGUGAAAUAUAUUACUUUACAAAUCUCUUUUCUAGUGUGCAGUUCUUGAUGUUAUCAUAAUUUCAUAGCUUUUAGUUUUUGCUCCAAGUAUCUGACUGAAGAAUCCUUGUUAUAGCUUAUGGAAAACGUUGAGGCGA